GAUAAUGCUUUCUCUGCAGCUAAUAGCCCCUUGUUCAUCAAGGAAACGAAUGUGCACGGAGGUGACAUGUUCUUCACCCACUGCUCUUUGUUCUAGGGUCCCUCAGACUGAUUAUAUCAGCCUCAGCACUGAUAAAUAUCCCCCCAAACUUUAACACUAUGUUAAAUUGAGUUAUGAGGUUUUAAGGUUACACUCCUCUGGCUGAAGGUUGAUUGUCUCUGAGAGAUAAAGGAAUCAUGCUCAA
rnacentral:lncRNA from 1 species